GUUUCCCCUCACUCCACUCCUCCUAGCUCUCCCCUAUCUUCCCUGUCCCCUAGAUGUACUCCCCUUCUGCUUUCUCUUCAGAAAAGAGCACAUCUCCAAGAGAGGCAGGGUUCCCCAUCUCUGAGAGGUGAGCCAAUGUGACCUUCAAUUCAGAUUCUCUCUGGGCAUAAUGUCUGACGGUGGGUCCCUACACUAGCUUCCAUAUGCAUCUAUGAAGACAACUGAACAAGGUCUUUUGAAGCCAACCAUAUCAUCUGUGAACUCAUAAGUACAGUGUGUCUGUCAUGUCCAGAAUGUACUGCUGCAGAAUGACCCUGACCUCUGGAACUGACAGUGUUUCCUCCCUGUCUUCUGUGAUAGUGCUACAGCCUUGGGUGUGGCUGGAGGGUUUAUUUACAUGUUGCAUUUAUAGUUCUGCACUCCACUGGCUCAGUUAUUCUCUGCCUUUGACCAGUUGUGACUUUCAAUGUUAAGCACCCCAUAGCAUGAAGAAACUUCUCUGAUGAGGUUAAGAGCUGUGCAGGUCUAUAAGCAUCGAGAAAUGACGUUAGGGAGUAGUUGAUAGUGUGGUUAUUUAACAGAAUAAUAAUAGGGAUGAACCUACUUUUCUAUGUAUAAAAUUUGUUUUUUUUCAGAAUUAUUUCUUUUUUA